rnacentral:rRNA from 1 species
AUGCCGAUAACCGCUAAGCUCUUCUACUACCAGCGCCGCCGCCCGCCGCCGCCACCGAUUCCGGAGACCGCCGAGCCCCGCUGCAUCGACUCCUCCGCCGCCCGCCGCCGGGUUCACCCCAUUCGCUCCGCGCACCACAGGCCGGGCUAUGAUGUUUUUGGAGGAAGCCCGAGAGAGCGAGGGGCGUCUAGCGGAAGCAUAACCGAACCAACAAGGAACGUGCUCUUCAGCACAAGACAAAGCAGCAACACAUCAAAUGACCGACUUCCUGAUGCGGUUCAACAGGCCAAGGAGAGGCUUCAUCAAAGGCUCCGAAGUGUCGACCUGUUUCCAGGGAGAAGGCUAACAGCACCAGCUGUAGGAACCAUUUGGGCUGGACCUGAUCUUCCUUCUGAAUGUGAUACCUGCUCAUCAGAGGACGGCGGAUUGGUUAACCGGACUAUUCGCUUCAACUCCAACGCCUCCCUGUCAGGCCACAAAGAUAAACAGGUCACAGCAGAGACGUUUAGCAACGCGGCGGUGGUAGCGCCACAUGAUCUGAGGCCUGUCUCCAAACUAGGACAAGAAGCUCUCCAAGGAACAAUCGACAGUGACGACGACGUGGAGUCCUCAGUGGACUGUUCGAUAUGCCUUGAAGGAUGCCAUGGUGCAUCAGGCGGGCUGAUCCAGCUGCGCUGCAAGCACAUCUUCCAUUCGGCCUGCCUGGAGCAGUGGCUGCAGUCCCGCGCCGAUUGUCCGUACUGCAGGGCCGGCGUCGUCCUAUCCUACCACGGAAGGAGUGGCCUGGAGUAUUAG